rnacentral:rRNA from 1 species
UACGAAGGGGGCGAGCGUUGUUCGGAAUCACUGGGCGUAAAGAGUGCGUAGGCGGCGAGGAAAGUUAGAAGUGAAAGCCCAGGGCUCAACCUUGGAAUUGCUUUUAAAACUCCCUCGCUCGAAUUUGGGAGAGGAGAGCGGAAUUGUCAGUGUAGCAGUGAAAUGCGUAGAUAUGCGGAGGAACACCGAUGGCGAAGGCAAUCCCCUGGGCCUGCACUGACGCUCAUGCACGAAAGCGUGGGGAGCAAACAGG